rnacentral:rRNA from 1 species
CCACCCUGGGGUUUCCUUAGUACGGCGAGUGAAGCGGUAAAAGCUCAAAUUUGAAAUCUGGUACUUUCAGUGCCCGAGUUGUAAUUUGUAGAAUUUGUCUUUGAUUAGGUCCUUGUCUAUGUUCCUUGGAACAGGACGUCAUAGAGGGUGAGAAUCCCGUUUGGCGAGGAUACCUUUUCUCUGUAAGACUUUUUCGAAGAGUCGAGUUGUUUGGGAAUGCAGCUCAAAGUGGGUGGUAAAUUCCAUCUAAAGCUAAAUAUUGGCGAGAGACCGAUAGCGAACAAGUACAGUGAUGGAAAGAUGAAAAGAACUUUGAAAAGAGAGUGAAAAAGUACGUGAAAUUGUUGAAAGGGAAGGGCAUUUGAUCAGACAUGGUGUUUUUUGCAUGCACUCGCCUCUCGUGGGCUUGGGCCUCUCAAAAAUUUCACUGGGCCAACAUCAAUUCUGGCAGCAGGAUAAAUCAUUAAGAAUGUAGCUACUUCGGUAGUGUUAUAGCUUUUUGGAAUACUGUUAGCCGGGAUUGAGGACUGCGCUUCGGCAAGGAUGUUGGCAUAAUGGUUAAAUGCCGCCCGUCUUGA